rnacentral:rRNA from 1 species
GAUGAACGCUGGCGGCGUGCCUAAUACAUGCAAGUCGAGCGAACAGACGAGGAGCUUGCUCCUCUGACGUUAGCGGCGGACGGGUGAAUAACAUGUGGAUAACCUACCUAUAAGACUGGGAUAACUUCGGGACACCGGAGCUAAUACCGGAUAAUAUAUUGAACCGCAUGGUUCAAUAGUGAAAGACGGUUUUGCUGUCACUUAUAGAUGGAUCCGCGCCGCAUUAGCUAGUUGGAAGGUAACGGCUUACCAAGGCAACGAUGCGUAGCCGACCUGAGAGGGUGAUCGGCCACACUGGAGCUGAGCCACGGUCCAGACUCCUACGGGAGGCAGCAGUAGGGAAUCGUCCGCAAUGGGCGAAAACAUGACGGAGCAACGCCGCGUGAGUGAUGAAGGUCUUCGGAUCGUAAAACUCUGUUAUUAGGGAAGAACCAAUGUGUAAGUAACUAUGCACGUCUUGACGGUACCUAGUCAGAAAGCCACGGCUAACUACGUG